rnacentral:rRNA from 1 species
UGGGGAAUUUUGGACAAUGGGCGCAAGCCUGAUCCAGCAAUGCCGCGUGAGUGAAGAAGGCCUUCGGGUUGUAAAGCUCUUUCAGUCGAGAAGAAAAGGUUGUGACCAAUAAUCACAACUCAUGACGGUAUCGACAGAAGAAGCACCGGCUAACUACGUGCCAGCAGCCGCGGUAAUACGUAGGGUGCGAGCGUUAAUCGGAAUUACUGGGCGUAAAGGGUGCGCAGGCGGUUUUGUAAAUCAGAUGUGAAAUCCCCGGGCUUAACCUGGGAACUGCGUUUGAAACUACAAGACUAGAGUGUGGCAGAGGGGGGUGGAAUUCCAUGUGUAGCAGUGAAAUGCGUAGAGAUAUGGAAGAACAUCGAUGGCGAAGGCAGCCCCCUGGGUUAACACUGACGCUCAUGCACGAAAGCGUGGGGAGCAAACAGGAUUAGAUACCCUGGUAGUCCACGCCCUAAACUAUGUCAACUAGUUGUCGGGUCUUAUUAGACUUGGUAACGUAGCUAACGCGUGAAGUUGACCGCCUGGGGAGUACGGUCGCAAGAUUA